rnacentral:sRNA from 1 species
GUUUUCCUUAUCUAUCUAAUUUUCGUUGAUUAAUCUGGAACCUGUCCCAUUGCGCUCUCACGUCCGGGCAUCUGACUGUAAGAACGCAAUAAGACAGGUUCUGCGUUUAGUUGCCGCGCUCUAA